rnacentral:tRNA from 1 species
AUAUACUUAGUAUAAAUUAAAUUACACUUAGUUUCGACCUAAGAGAUACCAAAAAGUAGUAUGUA